AUGCUGCGGGCUCUCGCUCUCCUUCUAGCUUUCCUGGCUCCUGCCACUCAGGUAUCUUCCAACUUGGAAGGGACACAGAUGUUGGUCACCAAGCAAGCUGGAUCAUCUGUUGUAAUCACUUGUGAUAUUACACGAAGCAGCGACUAUGUCCACUGGUACCGAUACCAGGAGGGGAUGGCCCCACGACGACUUCUCUACUACCAGUUCUCCAGCUCAAAGGUUGUGGUGGACCCAGGGAUCAGUUCACAGAAGUACAAUGCUUAUCAAGGCACAGGGAGGACCUGUAAACUUUAUAUCAAGUUUCUGGAAGAAAGCGAUUCUGGUGUGUAUUACUGUGCUGUCUGGGAGAGGCACAGCUGGAUCAAGACAUUUGGAGAAGGGACUAAGCUCCUCGUGAUUCCCUCUGACGCACACCUUCCUGCAGACAUUUCCCCCAAGCCCACCAUGUUUCUUCCUUCGAUUGCUGAAAUAAACCUCCAUAAGGCUGGAACGUAUCUUUGUCUUCUUGAGAAUUUCUUCCCUGAGGUUAUUAAGAUCUAUUGGAUAGAAAAGAAUGGCUAUAGAAUUCUGGCAUCCCAGCAGGGAAAUACCAUGAAGACUGAUACCACUUACAUGAAAUUCAGCUGGCUGACCGUGACUGGAAAGUCAAUGGAUAAAGAACAUAAAUGCAUUGUCCAACACGAGAAUAAUAAAGGAGGCGUUGACCAAGAGAUUCUUUUUCCUUCAGUGAACAAAGUUGUCACCUCAAUUUUCACUGGUACUGAUUCUACAAAGGCUCAUCCAAAAAAGGAAAGCAAGGCCACUGCUAUUAAUUCUAUAGAAGCUUGUCUAAAAGACGAGGACAACACCCUGCAGCUCACCAGCACCUAUGCCUAUUACGGCUACCUCCUCCUCCUCCUCAUGAGCGCGGUCUACUUUGCCAUCAUCGCCUUCUGUUUGCUUAGGAGAACAGCGGCCUGUGCCAAUGGAAAGAGUUUGUAACAGACGGUGGCACAAAGAACUCAACUUUUCUCCAUUGUUUAGUCUCCCUAAAACUGUCUGCCGAGGAUCUAGCUGGGUUUUCUCUCUGGCUUUCGGUUAUUUCAGGGCACAUGUGUACUUUUCUAUUACGUUGUUAUUGUGUAGUGAUUUUUCAAAGCACUGGGCAAAUAGAGACUUUUACUCUGUAACAACAAUGAAUGAUUCUAUUACUCAGGGGCAGGGCCAUGGGGUAGUCCUUUAGCACCCCUGUCUCCAUGAUCUCCAUCAGCUCCUCCAACAACCUAAAUACCUAGGCCUUCUGAGGACAGACAGCAUGCAGCUAUAGUCAUGUCCCUUAGGGCCAUUUAACCAGAUGACCACCUAGGACCCUUCCAUUUUACUCAUUCUGAGCCUGAUAUCUUUGCUAU